GAGUUUGAUCCUGGCUCAGAUUGAACGCUGGCGGCAUGCCUUACACAUGCAAGUCGAACGGCAGCACGGGAGCAAUCCUGGUGGCGAGUGGCGAACGGGUGAGUAAUAUAUCGGAACGUGCCCAGUCGUGGGGGAUAACGCAGCGAAAGCUGUGCUAAUACCGCAUACGAUCUCUGGAUGAAAGCGGGGGACUCGCAAGGGCCUCGCGCGAUUGGAGCGGCCGAUAUCAGAUUAGCUAGUUGGUGGGGUAAAAGCCCACCAAGGCGACGAUCUGUAGCUGGUCUGAGAGGACGACCAGCCACACUGGAACUGAGACACGGUCCAGACUCCUACGGGAGGCAGCAGUGGGGAAUUUUGGACAAUGGGCGCAAGCCUGAUCCAGCAAUGCCGCGUGCAGGAUGAAGGCCUUCGGGUUGUAAACUGCUUUUGUACGGAACGAAACGGUCUGCCCUAAUACGGUGGGCUAAUGACGGUACCGUAAGAAUAAGCACCGGCUAACUACGUGCCAGCAGCCGCGGUAAUACGUAGGGUGCGAGCGUUAAUCGGAAUUACUGGGCGUAAAGCGUGCGCAGGCGGUUAUAUAAGACAGAUGUGAAAUCCCCGGGCUCAACCUGGGACCUGCAUUUGUGACUGUAUAGCUAGAGUACGGUAGAGGGGGAUGGAAUUCCGCGUGUAGCAGUGAAAUGCGUAGAUAUGCGGAGGAACACCGAUGGCGAAGGCAAUCCCCUGGACCUGUACUGACGCUCAUGCACGAAAGCGUGGGGAGCAAACAGGAUUAGAUACCCUGGUAGUCCACGCCGUAAACGAUGAGUGCUAGGUGUCGGGGGUAUCGACCCCCUCGGUGCCACAGCUAACGCAAUAAGCACUCCGCCUGGGGAGUACGGUCGCAAGACUGAAACUCAAAGGAAUUGACGGGGGCCCGCACAAGCGGUGGAGUAUGUGGUUUAAUUCGAAGCAACGCGAAGAACCUUACCAAGGCUUGACAUCCCGCGCAAGGCCCUGGAAUGGUCUUGCAAGUUUACUUGCACACGGAGACAGGUGGUGCAUGGUUGUCGUCAGCUCGUGUCGUGAGAUGUUGGGUUAAGUCCCGCAACGAGCGCAACCCUUGCCUUUAGUUGCCAGCACAUAAUGGUGGGCACUCUAGAGGGACUGCCGGUGACAAACCGGAGGAAGGUGGGGAUGACGUCAAAUCAUCAUGCCCCUUAUGAUCUGGGCUACACACGUGCUACAAUGGCCGGUACAAAGGGCAGCAAAGCCGCGAGGUGGAGCCAAUCCCAUAAAGCCGGUCUCAGUUCAGAUUGAAGUCUGCAACUCGACUUCAUGAAGGCGGAAUCGCUAGUAAUCGCGGAUCAGCAUGCCGCGGUGAAUACGUUCUCGGGCCUUGUACACAC
rnacentral:rRNA from 1 species